rnacentral:rRNA from 1 species
AUUGAACGCUGGCGGCAGGCCUAACACAUGCAAGUCGAGCGAGCGGCGGACGGGUGAGUAAUGUAUGGGGAUCUGCCCGAUAGAGGGGGAUAACUACUGGAAACGGUGGCUCAUACCGCAUCCUAUCGGAUGAACCCAUAUGGGAUGAGCUAGUAGGUGGGGUAAAGGCUCACCUAGGCGACGAUCUCUAGCUGGUCUGAGAGGAUGACCAGCCACACUGGGACUGAGACACGUCCCAGACUCCUACGGGAGGCAGCAGUGGGGAAUAUGGCGCAAGGGGGGCAACCCUGACGCAGCAAUGCCGCGUGAAUGAAGAAGGCCGUCGGGUUGUAAAGUUCUUUCGGUAGCGAGGCGUUAACUACAGAAGAAGCACCGGCUAACUCCGUGCCAGCAGCCGCGGUAAUAG